GACGAACGCUGGCGGCGUGCUUAACACAUGCAAGUCGAACGGUAAGGCCCUUCGGGGUACACGAGUGGCGAACGGGUGAGUAACACGUGGGUGAUCUGCCCUGCACUUCGGGAUAAGCCUGGGAAACUGGGUCUAAUACCGGAUAGGACUCCUGCCUGCAUGGGUGGGGGUGGAAAGCUUUUGCGGUGUGGGAUGGGCCCGCGGCCUAUCAGCUUGUUGGUGGGGUGAUGGCCUACCAAGGCGACGACGGGUAGCCGGCCUGAGAGGGUGUCCGGCCACAGUGGGACUGGGAUACGCCCCAGACUCCUACGGUAGGCAGCAGUGGGGAAUAUUGCACAAUGGGCGCAAGCCUGAUGCAGCGACGCCGCGUGAGGGAUGACGGCCUUCGGGUUGUAAACCUCUUUCAGCACAGACGAAGCGCAAGUGACGGUAUGUGCAGAAGAAGGACCGGCCAACUACGUGCCAGCCGCCGCAGUAA
rnacentral:rRNA from 1 species